rnacentral:rRNA from 1 species
GAUGAACGCUGACAGAAUGCUUAACACAUGCAAGUCUACUUGAACUUCGGUUUGGGUGGCGGACGGGUGAGUAACGCGUAAAGAACUUGCCUCACAGUUAGGGACAACAUUUGGAAACGAAUGCUAAUACCUGAUAUUAUGAUUUUAGGGCAUCCUAAAAUUAUGAAAGCUAUAUGCGCUGUGAGAGAGCUUUGCGUCCCAUUAGCUAGUUGGAGAGGUAACGGCUCACCAAGGCGAUGAUGGGUAGCCGGCCUGAGAGGGUGAACGGCCACAAGGGGACUGAGACACGGCCCUUACUCCUACGGGAAGCAGCAGUGGGGAAUAUUGGACAAUGGACCAAAAGUCUGAUCCAGCAAUUCUGUGUGCACGAUGACGUUUUUCGGAAUGUAAAGUGCUUUCAGUUGGGAAGAAAAAAAUGACGGUACCAACAGAAGAAGUGACGGCUAAAUACGUG